rnacentral:rRNA from 1 species
AUUGAACGCUGGCGGCAGGCCUAACACAUGCAAGUCGAGCGGUAGCACAGGGAGCUUGCUCCUGGGUGACGAGCGGCGGACGGGUGAGUAACGUCUGGGAAACUGCCCGAUGGAGGGGGAUAACUACUGGAAACGGUAGCUAAUACCGCAUAACGUCGCGAGACCAAAGUGGGGGACCUUCGGGCCUCACACCAUCGGAUGUGCCCAGAUGGGAUUAGCUAGUAGGUGGGGUAAUGGCUCACCUAGGCGACGAUCCCUAGCUGGUCUGAGAGGAUGACCAGCCACACUGGAACUGAGACACGGUCCAGACUCCUACGGGAGGCAGCAGUGGGGAAUAUUGCACAAUGGGCGCAAGCCUGAUGCAGCCAUGCCGCGUGUAUGAAGAAGGCCUUCGGGUUGUAAAGUACUUUCAGCGGGGAGGAAGGCGGUGAGGUUAAUAACCUUGCCGAUUGACGUUACCCGCAGAAGAAGCACCGGCUAACUCCGUGCCAGCCGCCGCGGUAA